CAGGCCUGGCUGUGGAGGGUGGGUGAGGAGAGGCAGGUGCCCCAGACCGUCCUUAAGAGCUGUGAGAAUCUGGAGGGAAAGGUGUGUACAGUGAUGCCCACAGAAGAGGCAGGGGAUGGCCUUAUGAGGAGCGACAGUUGGAAGCAGGAAGUGUGCAGGCCCGCGGGAAUAUCUGGGAUUGCUUCUGCUGCCGAGACUGGGCGAAGCUGACGGGACCCUAGCUAUGGGAGAGGAGUGAGCGUGAGUCAGUUGGAGUUUGGACAGGAUGCAUUUUUUUUACUCAUUUUCUUCCUAUUUAAUGAUCUUGCUUUUGACAGAAAAGUUGAGUUUUACGAUGUAGAAUCAUGCCGUUCAGUACUGUGUAUCACAGAAAGAGUAGCAGGGGGAUAAACCUGAUAUGUCCUUGCACUCCGAGCCCCGGCUCAUCCUAAAGGUGGCUGAGACAGCCGGAGGUGGACACCGCCCCCGACAGCUCCCCCCGGGGUCCCCGCGUGCCCUCUGUGACAGCCAGAGGUGGACACCACCCCCGACAGCUCCCCCCGGGGUCCCCGCAUGCCCUCUGUGACAGCCAGAGGUGGACACCACACCCGACAGCUCCCCCCGGGGUCCCCGCAUGCCCUCUGUGACAGCCAGAGGUGGGCACUACCCCCGACAGCUCCCCCCGAGGUCCCCACAUGCCCUCUGUGACAGAGGUGGACACCACCCCCGACAGCUCCCCCCGGGGUCCCCUCAUGCCCUCUGACAGCCAGAGGUGGGCACUGCCCCCGACAGCUCUCCCUGGGGUCCCCACAUGCCCUCUGUGACAGAGGUGGGCACCGCCCCCGACAGCUCCCCCCGGGGUCCCCACAUGCCCUCUGUGACAGCCAGAGGUGGACACCACCCCUGACAGCUCCCCCCGGGGUCCCCUCAUGCCCUCUGUGACAGCCAGAGGUGGGCACCACCCCCAACUGUGACAGCCAGAGGUGGGCACCACCCCAGACAGCCCUCCCCGGGGUCCCCGCAUGCCCUCUGUGACAGAGGUGGACACCGCCCCUGACAGCUCCCCCCGGGGUCCCCGCAUGCCCUCUGUGACAGCCAGAGGUGGACAAUGCCCCCAACAGCUCCCCCCGGCGUCUCCGCAUGCCCUCUGUGACAGACGUGGACGCCACCCCCGACAGCUCCCCCAGGGUCCCCGCAUGCCCUCUGUGACAGUGGUGGACACCGCCCCGGACAGCUCCCCCUGGGGUCCCCUCAUGCCCUCUGCAGGUGCCCAGUGAGCUGCUCUGUGGGCCAGGCUCGAGCUGAACUUGCAGGCCAGGGCAGGAGACAGCGCGCAUGUGCGCAGAUGUACAGACAGGCUGUGACCCCAGACGUACAGGGAGAGGAAGAGGGACAGUGACUAAUGGAGGGAAGUGGGUGUGGCUCUCAUCUGGAGACCAGGAGGAGAUGUGGAUGAGGGUCUCUGUGGGAGACCAGGAGGAAACGUGGAGUGAGGGUCUCUGGGGGGGACCAGGAGGAGGUGUGGAUGGGGGUCUCUGUGGGGGAGACCAGGAGGAGAUGUGGAGUGAGGGUCUCUGUGGGGGAGAGCAGGAGGAGGUGUGGAGUGAGGGUCUCUAUGGGAGACCAGGAGGAGACAUGGAGUGAGGGUCUCUGUAGAGGAGACCAAAGGGGGUGUGAAGUGAGGGUCUCUGUAGGGGAGACCAGGAGAUGUGAGCUGAGAGCUGUAAGGAGACCCAGCCCUGGGGUCCAUGUGUCUAGGAAGUGUGCCGCAGCUUGCCCACCUCUGAAUGCUGUCCCCAUCACCUGCUGCACCCUGCGUCCAACAGUCUGUGUCCGUGGCGGCACCGUGGCCUCCUGCAGGUGAACCUAUCCUAGAACCACCUGCUGUCGGGGUCAGUGGACCCCGCCUGGAUCACCCCCAUGUGGUGGGAGAGAGUCUGCCGGCCUCAGUGUUGGACUUCCCAGUGGUGUACUGCAGCCCCCGUAAGCAGCUUGUAAGCUGUGGUUCAGAGCAGGGCCCUAAUGCAGACUCCCAGGUGUGGCCAGGGGCUGACUGGGCGGCUGGCACCGCGGGGAAGCACAUUCAGGCUGGGCUGUGCCUUCUGGGCCACUGCCUUACUGUCGUCAGAGCGGCACGUGGGGCGUCCCAGGCUGUGAGAUGGACAGACGGGCCACUGCCAGCAGGAGGGUGUUGUGGCUCUUCCUAACCCCGCCCUGCACCCCGACCCCGACCCUUGUGCAGUGAGGCGUCCUGGGAGGUCUGGACCCUAGGCUGAAGCCUCCUGCUGGCUCAGCACUGGCACCGCCCUUGGUGGGACCACCGGGUGCAGCUGUGAGCUGGGCCCUGGCCCUGUGGAGUUUUCCUCGGAAGAGGGAAGCAGGUGUCCUGCAGUGGGGGGCUCAGGCAGGGACGCCUGCAGCAGGGACCCUGGCCCCGCCGAAAUCUGUGAGGUUGGAGGGUCAGGGAGUGUGGAGUGAAUGGCUCACUUCCCUCGCAAACUUAGCUUCACAAGUCUGGAUUUUAAAAAAUUAUGUGUAGGGGUUGGCUCUGUGGCUCAGCGGGUUAACACCCUGGCCUGGGGCGCUGGCAUCCCAUAUGGGCGCCAGUUUAAAUCCUGGCUGCUCCUCUUCCGAUCCAGCUCUCUGCUAUGGCCUGGGAAAGGAGUAGAAGAUGGCCCAAGUCCUUGGACCCCUGUACCCACGUGGGAGACCUGGAGGAAGCUCCUGGCUCCUGGCUUCAGAUUGGCGCAACUCCGGCUGUUGUGGCCGUCUGGGGAGUGAACCAUCGGAUGGAAGACUUCUCUCUCUCUCUCUGCCUCUCCUCUCUCUGUGUAACUCUGACUUUCAAAUAAAUAAAUAAAUCUUUAAAGAAUUAUGUGAAAAUAAUCUUAUGGCAGUGGUUAAACUGAUUUCGCACCCAGGACCUGUGAUUACAGGUGACACUCUAACAAAAGGGACGGCACUUUGACAAGCACAGAAAGGAGUCCAUGGCCAAUGAACCCUGGGAGUGCUCCCGGCCUGGCGGUUUGAGGUUGCCAUGGAUGCCCAGGUCUUGUGUUGGAGGCCUGCUCAGAGCCCUGGCCCCAGCUUCCUGCUCGUGUGCACCUGGGAGGCAGCCAAGAUGGCCAAGUCCUUGAGUCCCUGCCACCUGUGUGCAAGGCCCGGAUGGAGCUCCCAGCCCCUGGCCCUGGCCUGGCCCGGCCUCAGCCGUUGCAGGCAUUUGAAGAGUGAGCCGGCAGAUGGAAACUCUUCGUCUGUCUCUGUCUGUCUCGCUGCCUUUCAAACAUGAAAAUAAAUAAACAAACAGAAACACUCCUUUAGCACUUGCCUUUGGUUUAAAUAACUGGUUUUCAAGAGCCCUGCCCAUUUCUGGGGAGCACCAGGCCCUUAAAUUGUCGCCCGUUCCUCCGCCGCCUCCUCCGUGCUGCCUGUCACAGCUCAGCUUCCUGCAUUGCUGCGAGUGCAGGGACGCGGCUGCUGCGUCUCGGCCAGACCAGGCGCCUGUGAGCUCUGCCUGGCUUCCCGGGCCCUGCGGUGCUGUGACAGUGGCUGGGUCUGGUUGUGGGGGUGUGAAAGAGCCGUGGGUGCUGAGUGCACAGGUGUGGCUGCUUCCUCACGAGACUUGGUUGAAAACGAGGGGUUAAAUUUGACCUGCACACAGUUUUCCCCUCCUCUGCUUGCUGUAUUUAUUUUUUGAAUUCUGAUUUUUUUAUUUGAGAGUCAGAGAAGGAGAGAGAAAUACACACACGCACGCACACACUCACACAUCUCCCAUCCUCUGGGUCACUCCCCAGAUUCUGGUCAGGCUGGAAACAGUCCAGGUCUCCCACACUGGGGGCGCCUGAGCCGUCACCGCUGUGUCCCUGGGUCUUAGCCUCCAGGCCGCCUGCCCGCCGUGGUUGGUCCUACUUCAGACAGUCAGUGGUCUUCGAUAAAGCAGCAAAUGAACUGAAAUGUGCCCUUGUCUCGUGUUCCCAGUGGUCUUCAUUUGUGUUGUGGAUCCCAGUGGUAAAGUGAUGUGUUCUUUCUCAUUAAGCUGCUUCCUUUGACAUUCUUUAACCUGUUUUUGUAAAGUGUGCUAAUACUGAAUGCCCUCGUUGUUUUUAUUUGCUCAUAAAAUAGUUCUCUUUCAUUUUUGAAAUAUUUUUAAGUAUUUAUUUAUUUGAAGGGUAAAUUAACAGAGAGAAAGAGAUCUCCCACCUGCUGCUCCCUCCCCAAACUCCGCCCAGGUCUCCCACAUGGGAGCAGGAGUCCUAGUACUUGGGCCGCCCUCGGCUGCUUGCCCAGGCGUGUCAACAAAGUGCUAAGUCAGAAAUGCAGCAGCUGGGACCGAACUGGCGCAGCUUAGCCUGCCAUCACAGCGUCAGUUCCUCGUUUUUGAAAUAUUUCUUAUCUGAGUAUAGAGUUCUGACUUGGCUAUUUUUCUUUCUGCAAUUAAGUUUGUAUUUUUGUUUGAAAGGCACAGUCGCAGCGGAAGUGGUGGUGCUCUUGCAUCCGCUGGGUCGGGGGCAGGGACCCAGCAUCUAAGCUGCCCUCACUGCUCACCAGGGUACAGGGCAGCAGGAGCUGGAUGGGAGUGGAGGCAGGCUCAGAGCAGGCACGCAGGCGUGGGGUGUGGUGUCCCAGGCUGAGCCAGCCCGCGCGCCGCAACACCCACCCAGUGGCUCUGCUGUCUCCCGGUGUGCUCGGCCACUGGGCCCUCUUAGCUGUCCUCUCUCGGACUGCCUUCAAGAUGUCCUGUUGUCUUUGGCUGUCAACAGUUUAAUGUGCUAUCCUUGGUGGCUUCUAUUAUUAUUCUCAUCGAACUUGGUAUUCUCUGAGCUCCUUGUACCUGUAGCUUGAUGCCGGUCCUUGUUGUUUGAGACUUCGUGGCUGUUAAAAUGUCCGGUGUUUCCUUUCCCCGAUCCGUCUUUCAGCCACGCCGACCUUGACCGCCUGAAGUGGUCCCACAGCGUGUGCACGCUCUGGCUUUGCUGUUUGCGUUCCAACCUAAUGAUCGCUGCCGAGCUCUCUUCGGUCAUCCGCUGCCCGCCCCGCGAGGCUGUUCAUCCUGGUGCCAGUGUCUGGCUUUGCUCAUACUUGGUCUGGGCGGCAGUGGCCCUUUGGCCACUUGUUCCCCCUGGAGCCUUCAGCAUACUAAUUACAGCUAUUUCAGUGGUUUGACAGACAGUUCCAACUGUUUGUCUUCUCAGCCACGGUCCGGCGGUUGCUCUGUCUUGGAAAUGAGUGGGUUUUCCUUGCCUUGUUGUCUCAAUUUUCUCGCGAAAGCCACAUGCUGUGUGGCUCAGCAAGGAGGGAGGUGGCUCCAAUGCCUGGAUGGGGGCUUGCCCUACUCCCUGGUGUGGACAGCUUGCCUUCUUGGUGUAGACAGCACAGUCGACACCAGAAAUCCGUUCCAAGCCUCCAGGGGAUGCCUGAAACCACGGGACGACGGACCCCUGUCUCGGCUGUUUGCUCUGCAAGUACGUAUUUAUGACAGCGUUAUAUUUAUACAAUAGACACAGGCAGAGAUUAACAGUAAAACUUACCACAGACCUCAGCAACCUAAGCAUGAACUCUUCUCUCCUUUUCACUGAAAGGAAGCACUCUCGGCUUUUCCUUGGGGUACUUGGAGGCCCAGCCCCGCGUCAUAUGCUUUGGGGCUGUUAAUUCAAAUGCAGGUGCUGGACACGAGCUGCCUGCUCGGUCACUGGCAGGGGGGCAGCGUAGCCACAUGGAUCCACUGGACAGAGGGGAGGGCGGGCGGCAGCGCGGGGUUUCCCAGAGCGUGCAAGUCAGCACUCGUGAACUACCUACUUCCUGAAUUUUCCACGUGUUGUUUUCAGGCCAUGGCUGACCCGGGCCCCUGAAACCUCAGGAAGCAAAACCCGGAUCAGGGGCUCCUGUGACCUGCGAGGAGCUGAGUGCGCCUGGGACGUGCGUUUCUACAGGGACCCGCCGUGCACCCCAGCCUCCCCGUGGGGUGGGGACCUGGUGCUGGCCGCGGCUGCUCCCACACGCUGCAUCAGAGAGGGCGCUGGCCUGCUCUGUUCCACCCCGGCUGGCAGCCAGGCUCACCACAUGUGUUAGGCAGCGCUUCCUAGCCGAGGUAGAGGAGGAGGAGGGUGGGGCGUGGCUCCUGUUGUGAGGAAGGCCCCUAGCCAGGCCCACAGCCCUGUCCUAGGUCUUGUGGGAGCAGCUUCCUCACACUCCUGCCCUCCCCAGCAGCUCCAUCCCGCUUCCCCCUUCUCCCAGCGGCGCCGCCCUCCUGGCCCUGUUCUGAGUGCAGCCGGAAAGGAAGCACACCACGGUUCCGGCCUUGCUCCCCAGCGGCUGCCAUCCUCCCUGGUCUUCACUCAAGGCCACUUCUGGGCCCUGUCUGUCUUCCCCACGAGCAUCCCGUGGAGGUUGUGGAGCCAGAACCCGUCCACAGCGUGGACCCCUUGACUUCCUGCAACCCCGGGGGUCCACACGGGACCACCACACGGGGCCUGAGCCACGUCCUCGGCUGCUGCAGCCAAGUUCUUUUGCCUGGGGUGGGGAGGGGUCUUGUUCUUUGCAGAGAGUCAGCGCCGCCUGUGUCACCGCCUGCGUCUCCCGAAAUGCUGGGUGAUCAUUGGCUGCAGGCUCGGCUCUCUGACUGUCCCAGCCAGGUUGGGAGUAUGGAGUCAGCCUCCUUGUUACGGUGGAGAUGAGAGCAGAAAUGCCAUCGGCCCCUUACACAGCCCAGGUCAGACCCUUAUCUCGGCACCCCAGACGGGCCCACAGCACAUGGAAGCUGGUGGGUGGUGCCAGCAUGCCUGGGGGCCUACACUGGCCUGAGUGUUGGGACCACCUACGUGGCUUUCAUCGCAUUGAUGGGCUGGGACCUGAGCCUCAGGGUUUUGUGCAGCUUCCCUGGGGAGUGCAGCCGCAGCCAGGAACCUGCGGUAGAAUCCUUGGGGCCCAGGAGCCUUUGAGACAGAAGCAUCUUCCUGCUCAGAGGCAUCUCCUGUGACCCCACUGUGGCUGCGGUUCUUAUCCAUCCAUGCAAGUGGAAGCGUCAACAGCCCGCUGUCACUUCUCCCAACACGCGACACCAGCACUGCCUCCAACAAGGUGGAAAGUGGUUUUGAGCUCUCUAUUUGGCUCAUGACACUUGUGCGAGCUUGCCAGAGGUCCCGCUAACUGGCACCUGGUGUUGCUGUGCUCCGACACACAGGAAUGAGGUCAAUCUCCACAGGGUUUUCGGCUUGAGACAGGUGGACAGGCGUCGCCCUGCUCCCCGUCACGCUUGUCUUCUGGGCUGGUACCUCUGGCUGGGGCUCCGGCACUGCCCGGGGGCAGCGGUUUCGGAGUUGGGUGCUCUCUCCCAUUUUCAAGAGCCAGCUGCUUUAACCUCAUCCUUGCCCAGGGCCCGGCUCGUCGGAGCUGUGAGAGAGGAGGAUCCCUGUGCUCCCCCUGUGAGGGCCCAGGCGGCCCAACGCUGCCCCUGGUUUCCCUGAGGCCCCUUUGCUGUGCUCCUCUGCGCCUACCUGCUGAGGGCCAAGGCGGUUCCGGCUUCCUCCGGCAUGGCCUGGCGGUCCCACACCCCUGAAGGAGGCCAUGCAGGCCAGGUGUUCUGGAGCAGCCUGCGCAGGAGGUCAUUGAGAGGGAGGCGUGACCUGCCCUGGAGUUUGGAGGCGUGGCCUUGGAUCGCUGAAGCUGGGUGCAGUCCUCAGGCAGUGGUCCCCCGUUGCAUCUUGGGAGCAGAGGAAGAGGCCAGCUGACACACAGGCCCCCUGCCCCUCACCCUGGGACGCUGGAACCACCCCAGGACUCUGCCAGUGGAAGCCAUGGGCAGAUGUGGCCACUCAGCCCCGCACCGCCAUAACCAUGAGCCAAAACAAGUCUGCUUGCCUCAGGUGUCUGGCUGUGCUCACGACUGGCUGACCAUACACACAGCUUUUCAAAGCUGCAUGCACCUGUUUUACCCGAGGGUCUUUUUUUUUUAAAGAUCUAUUUACUUAUUUAAGAGGCAGGGGUACAGAGAGAGAAGGAGAGAGAGAGAAAUGGAAGACAUCUCCUGGUUCUCCUGGUUCAUUCCGCAAGUGGCUGCAGUGGCUGGAGCUGAGCCGAUGAGAAGCCAGGAGCCAGGAGCUUCUUCUGGGUCUCCCACAUGGGUACAGGGUCCCAAGCACUUGGGCCAUCUGCCCCUGCUUCCCCAGGCCACAGCAGGGAGCUGGAUUGAAAGUGGAGCAGCCGCAGGUACAGGCUCGGCCUACCAUGCCAGAGUGCCAUCCCCCACCCAAGGUCUUCUAAAUUGCAGGUAGAUUCAGGAGAUCAGGGGUGACCUGGGAGCCAGCACCUCCCACAAGCUCCCGGGGGACCAUGCUGCUCCUCACUGGACGACUCUGUGAGCAUAGAGCCCCACGGGAGCGGAAUAAAAGGCAGAAACCCAGGCCUCGCCAUUCCCUGACCCGCCGUCCGGGUCUGUCCCCGAGCAGAGGCGCAGGCCAGGUCACAGGGGUCGGGCUGGUGCCACAUAACAUCACGCCGGGGCUGCUUCUGCAGUGCCCAGGGGCCUGAGGCCAGGAGCAGGCUCUUGAAAUCUGUGGGCCGCAGGGUGCAAGCGAGGUGGGAGUAGACGCCCAUCGUGGCUUGGGCACUUCCCCAGAAGGCCCUUGCUGGGGGUGACCCCGUGCUGUGCCCUGGCAGGGUCCCGGUGUUGCAAGCAGAUGGCUCGAAUCUCUGUCGUCCUCACGCUUCCACCUGCCGUUCUCCAGACCCAGCCCCACUGCGCCCACCCUGCAGGGGCUGGGACCACCUCCGAGGCCUUGUGAGGCUCUGGUUUCCUGCUGUGGCCUCGUGGGGACCUCACUGUCCCUGGGCUGUCAGCUUGGUGCAUCCUGCCUGGGACAGCUUCGCGGGAGGGGCUGGCACAGAGCUUGCAGGGCCCGCCCGACCUUGCAAGGUCUGAUGACUUCACCCAGGUGGCCGUGCGUCCCCUCGUCAUGUUUCACGGGCAGGCGGUCGUCCACUGUCUGAAAUCACUCAAUGGAAAAUUCUGGAAAUAAGCCAUGCUUGAGCUGAUGACGGUGCCUUGUUACCGCUGCUCUGUCACCAGUCGUUCAGCACUCCCGCUGGGUCAGGAGAAGGUCGGGUCGCCCUCAGUCCCAGGGCCCACUCGUGGCCUGGGGCAUCCUGCCCUGCGGCCCCUAAGACCUCCCUGUUCCCCUGUGUGGGCAUUGAAGGCAGCCUCUGACUACACAGUGAAACCCACCCAUUGAGGCGGCCCAUCCGGGAGCAGCGAGCCGGGUGUUCUGGGAAGAUUCCAGCGUGCCCCUCCUCCUGAGGACAUGGGAUCCAUGGGGUCCUGCGUGUGCUCCUCGGGGUGGCCGAGGUCUAAUGCGGGGAACCCAGCAGAUUCAAACCAGGCUGGGUGGUUGGUGUCCUCCCCUUGGCCGGCAGGCAGUGUCUGGUGGCUUCAGCACGUUUUGAUGAUUUGUGGGGAUGUUCUCUGCGGUGGGGCCCCCACAAGUGUCUCCGUACUUACUCACAUGCACAUCCGGGCCACUGCACGUGUGGCCGUGGCCCACGAUGCCCUUGCUGUGCAGGGGUUCUCGUCCGUGCUGGGGUCUGGCCGUGGUGCCCCUUGUUACAGCUUCACCAGAUUUUGAUUUGUGAGAUGAUCCGUUAAGGGUGGUGCUGGGUGGUGUCCGUCUACGCAGGCAGCACCCGGGACUCUGCUCUCAUGACUACGGCUGCCUGUUCCCCUUGUGGGCACCGAGGCUGAGAGUUUAUUCCUUUGAUUUAUUUAUUUGAAAGGUGGCGGGGGGGAAUCUUCCAUCCACUGGUUCCCCCUCAGAGGGGGUGGGGAGAGGUCUUCUAUCUACUGGUUCACCCCCAAAUGGCCACAACGGCCAGGGCUUGGCCAAGUUCAAGCCAGGAGCUGAAUUCCAUCUGGGUCUCCCACGUGGGUGCAGGGCCCCAAGUGCCUGGGCCGUCCUCUGCUGCUUUCCCGGGCUGAUUGGCAGGGAGCUGGAUCGGAAGUGGAGCAGCUGGGACUCAAGCCGACGCCCAUGUAGGAUGCCCGUGCUGCAGGUGGUGGUUAAGGGAUAUGCACUGCUUCAAAGAAAGUGGCCUUUUCCUGGGCAGGUUUACAUUAAAUUACAAGAAGGGAUGUGAAAACCUACUACACACAGCUCGAAGCUGUCCCCUCCACAACAAUCGAAAGGUGGACCCAACUCAGAUGGCCAUCGGGGUGGACAGGCGGAAGCAGGGCGUCCACACAGUUGGAAGUCACUGGGCCUUAGAGGGGAGGGACACGGCUGAACCUCGAGGACGUAACGGCCUCACAGGGACAGAUACUGGCGGGGCUGCUUACCGGAGUCCCUGGAGCAGGCAGACUCCAGAGGGAGCCCAGCGCUGCUGGCUGGGCCAGGGGAGGACCAGUGGGUCUCAGGUGUACUGGGGCCCCCAGUCUCAGCUUGGGAGGCCGACAGAGUCCUAGAGGCGGAAGGUGGCCAUGGUUGCACAACGGCUGAGUGUCGCGAAUGCCGCUAGCUGUGCAUUUAGAAGUGGUUGACAUUAUAAGUGUUACUUAUAGUUUACCAUAAUUUUUAAAGCCUCAUUGUCAGGAGAGCUGGUGCAGGCUCUCGGGAGCACUCGUGGAAAUCAGACACGUGCGCUUUCUCCUGGGUAACUGUAAUUUGUAUCUUAGAAGAAAAGAAGGAAAGCGUGGGGUAAAGAUGCCCAGGCUACUUUGCUCUGAUUCUGUUCCCAGAUGUCCUGAGAGCUGCUCCGGCUCAGAGCUUUGGGUGUGGAGACGGUCAGAACACCUGGAAUCCUGGGCCUGGGACCUGGGAGCGUGUGCAGGCUCUGCCGCGCCUCCAUCGCUGUGGGUGGCUGAGGCUCCGUUCUGUGGAUGGAGGGACGGCGUGCAGAGAAGUAAGUCAAGCCCAGGCCUGUGUCCCUGCUCUCUGCGUACAUUGUGCCAUUGUGGAGUCGCCAGGAGUGUGAAUUCUCUGCCUAGAACAGCCGGUGCAGGAUGUGGCCGGGCAGCCUCCGGGGGUAACCAGGCCUGGACCGCAGAGGGCAGUGAGAUAGCCCAUCCCUGGUGCUGCUGUCCCUCCACUGGUGGUGCCGGCUAAUCUGUGGGCUCUGAGUAUUGGCAGGGUAUCCAGAGGAGUGGAUAUUGAUGUAAAGAUUAAGUUAAAUGCAUUAUAAUAUGCAGCCUAGAGUUGAACUGUUUAAUCUAUCAUUGCUAUCUGUCACAUUGCUCGAUGAUUGAAAGCAAUUGCAUUGCCAAUCUAUAAAGCUGGAGCUGCUCCGUGGGGGAUAAUUGACCAGAUUUGUGUUUCUAUUCAGGGUUUUUAAAAGAAGGUAAAAGUGGGCUGUGUCCAAGUGGAGCAUUUGAUUGUGUUAAUAAAUGUGAUAAUCAGGUUUGGAUGUACAACAGAAUGCCUCCCACAAAUAGCGUGGACGCCCGGCCUGCUGCGUGCUUGUAACCUCAUAAAACCUCAGGCCAUUGUCCCUGAAUUGCUGCGUUUACUGUGCAAGGAUUAUUUCGACGGUACCCACUGGAAUUAUUUGUUCUGAAAGAAAGUUUUGAAAGAAGAGUCAUUUAAGAAGAAUACGUUCUGCUGCCUUUACCUCUUCCUCUCUUCUAAAUCAAUGCUCUCAGGCUCUGAGCACAGCCGGGCAGAGCUCCCUCCCUCCGUGGAGAAGGGGCCAUGAGGCCCCUCUGCCCUGUCCACAUCUCGGCCCCUGCGGGGGCGGCCAUCCCCGAGAGAGGGGCCCCGCUGCCUCCGGACACAUCUCGGCCCCUGCGGGGGCGGCCAUCCCCAAGAAAGGGGCCCCGCUGCCUCCGGACACUGCUCUGUUGCUCUGCACACCCUGUGCCUCUGUCUGGGGCUCACCCAGGAGCACGACAGGGAUGCGGGGUGGACACCCAGUGGAUGACGCUGGGCACGGGGAGUGGGUGGACACUGCUGUGGACCGCAUCUCGGCUUCUUUGAACGUUUACUCUAAAGCAAGUCCCUCAGCUUGACUUCUUCCUCCGCGCGCUCUCGGUGCAGUCAGCCCUCCGUGUCAGCGUUCUCAGGGUACAGCCAGCCUCCAUGCCAGUGGUCCCGGGGUACAGCUGGCCCUCUGUGUUGCAUUUUUGGGGUACAGCUGGCCCUCUGUGUCUGUGUUUGGGGUGCAGUCAGCCCUCCGUGUCCGUGAUGUUGAAGUCUGCCAGUCUUGGAGGCCCGCAGGCUCCAUGUCCAUGGAUUGUUCCAGGUGUGGUCAGAAAUACUUGUGUGUGUUGAGCGUGUACUCUCUGGUGCUUGUCCCCUAGACAGCACGGUGUAGCCACCGCCCACACGGAAUUCAGGUGGGCUCUCGGCGUCUAGAGUCGUCGGAGAUGACUCGGUUCUCAGGAGCCGGUGGGCAGGGGCCAGGCAAACCUGCACCGCGCCACGCCGCGCCAGGGCCUUGAGAACCCAGAGAUGCUGGCGCGCACCGGGUCCUGGAGCCCAUCUCCCACAGAUAGCGCAGGGCCGCAGCUUUGCCUGGAACCGCAGCUCUCGGGUCCGUCUCCGGUUCUGACUCCGGGCUGUCCAGCUGCAGAGCGCCGCACAGAUCAGGCAGUGGCAGCAGGCUCUGUAGGAAGAGCUGGCUCGGUGCUGGGCCACUGCCCCGGGGGGGUUUGGGUGCCCUGAGGCUCCAGGCGGAGACCCUGCCAGGGAACCCAUUGGCCCGUGGCUGGUGGGGGGCAUCUCCCGGCACAGGGGGCCUGUUAGGGUAGCAGCCACCCAGGUCUUUUCCAACAAGCACAUGCGUGUUGGUGACGCCGUCCACAGCCCCACGGCACCUUCCAGUGCAACCUCUGGUGCCCAGGCCCCUGCAGCCAUCAGGAAGGUGUCCGGACGUCACUCCCAUCCCAGCCUCACUCCGCUCUGGGGUGACCUUGGAGUCCCAGGAAGAUCCGGCAGACAUCACGACUGUUUUACAGCCCCGGGGUCUUCUCGGCAGGUGGUGACUGGGUGGCAGGGGCCUGCAGCCUCCGCCCAAGGACUUGCACUCGCACGCAGCACAGGGCCUCCGUGGGACGGACCUCCUGUGGCUGUGUCUAGGACUCCUAUCUCCAUGACAUCGAGAUCCCAGCAGGCAGGAGGCUAAAACCCAAGCC